GUCCUCUCAACGAAAUAACGAAAUAAGGUGUUCAGGAUUUGUAGUUAAUGUACGACGUGUGUGUAGCAUAGUCUAAUUCUCAGUUGACAGAAGCAAAACGCGAAUUAAACCGAAACCAGACAAUAUUUCACAAAUCAAUUGUUAGCUAUUGCUCGCUAGCUGUUUUCCUUAUUUUAAAACCGGGUCAGAGUUCAGAUAGUUCAACAUGGCAGCGUGUGAGUUGCGAGGCGAGUUAAAAUACAGAGAUGGAGAGAAGAAAGAGUUUGUGAUUAAGACAGAAAACAACUUGAAGAACGUUUUAGCAGGGGUUCAGAAGAUGAAUGCGGACGUGUCCGCGGUACUCACAGAACUUGUUCUACGAGAAAAGGGGUCUGUGAAAAAUGGCAAAGGGGACGUUCACGUCGAUGACGAGGAAGAGGAUGACAGCGAUGAAGAGGAUGAAAAGGAAAUUCAAGACAGGACGAAGGCUACCAGUUCAGAACCUCCUGCCAAACGCACAAAGACAUUAAGAGCUUGACUGUCUCAAGCCACAGAGACCAACUGAUGGGAACAUUUACCCUUAAAGACGGCAACGCUGUUCUGGGGAGGUCAUUGGAUUUUUACAAAUAUAAUGGGAAUGCCUUUUUCUACUUUAAACCUACUUUCAUCCAAACUACAAUUUGCCCUGCUUACCUGUUGGUCAGAAAAAGUGAGUUUAAAAAAUGAGGAUUUGAUGAAACGUGCACUGUAAAAUUUGACCAGUGACACCUAGGUUUUGCUUUCAUAUGUAUGAGUUUGAUUUGUGGGUGUUGGAAUUGCAGCGUUGUCUUUGAAAUGCAGUGAUUAAUGAAACAUGAAGAACCUGUGCUAUUAUUUUAAGGAAAACAUUUUUUCCCAAUUCACCCUCACCCUCAAACCAGCCCACCUCCUUACCCAGAUGUCAGUCAUCCACAUCAGCGGACACCCCACUAUAUCCCAUAGUCCCUUCCCCACUUAAUUCCAACCAAUACAGGGGAAAGAAAAAAAAAAGUAAGUUAAACCAGAAUAAAAAUGUAAAUGUGCCUAUGGUUCCUGGGCUCUUAGCAUAGCACCACUACAUAGCACCAUUCACUAAUGUAGUUCACCUGCCAUAUUCUGUAAAAUUUGCCAGAGGAUUCUCUCAAUAAAGGGCAGCACGGUGGUUCAGUGGGUAGCACUGUUGCCUAACAGCAAGAAGGCUGUGGGUUCAAAUCUCAUCUUGGGCCUUUCUGCAUCUUUUGCAUGUUUUCCCCGGGUUUGUGUCAGUUUCCUCCCACAGUCCAAAGACAUGCAGGUAGGCUCAUUGAAGACUCUAAAUUUCCCAUAAGUGUGAGUGAAUCGUGUGUGUGCCUCAUUCUCUCAUCGAGUAUUAGGUUUUCUAAUCUAAGAUACUGCAUGUCUUUUCCAAUGGUUAUGUGAAAGUGGAGGCAACUCCAGUUCAGCAACACUAGUUGAUAAACCAACAAUAAGGCAAGGGCCAGAGAGUCUAGCUGUGGCUUGGGUAAGGCCUAUUUGUUCAGUUCUUAACAGUGCUGAAAGUGUGGGUUCAAAAAAACCGAGUGGGUUAAAUAGGACGUUUCAUUAUCUUUGAAUGUUUUGUAUCCUGAACUCCACAAUUCUGUUAGCUCAGGGUGUGGCCAGAUUGAAUGGAAAAGUGCCUGGACAGUCUUUCAUCUACAGCAUCACAGAUAGGAUCUAGCUGUGGUUUAAUUUUAUGCUGGACAUUAAACCUGUAUUUCUACAUUAUGAAAUGCAUUAAUGGGAUGUUGGAGGGUAACACAAUUCCUUUUUCUGAAAAAUAAAGGAAAUCCGUU